rnacentral:rRNA from 1 species
GAUGAACGCUGGCGGCGUGCUUAACACAUGCAAGUCGAGCGAGAAAAGUUCUUCGGAGCUUUUCUAGCGGCGGACGGGUGAGUAACACGCGGGCAACCUGCCUCAUAGAGGGGAAUAGCCUUCCGAAAGGAAGAUUAAUACCGCAUAAUAUUGUUGAAAGGCAUCUUUUAACAAUCAAAGGAGCAAUCCGCUAUGAGAUGGGCCCGCGGCGCAUUAGCUAGUUGGUGAGGUAACGGCUCACCAAGGCGACGAUGCGUAGCCGACCUGAGAGGGUGAUCGGCCACAUUGGAAUUGAGACACGGUCCAGACUCCUACGGGAGGCAGCAGUGGGGAAUAUUGCACAAUGGGGGAAACCCUGAUGCAGCAACGCCGCGUGAGUGAUGAAGGUCUUCGGAUUGUAAAGCUCUGUCUUUAGGGACGAUAAUGACGGUACCUAAGGAGGAAGCCACGGCUAACUACGUGCCAGCCGCCGCAGUAAGAC